GCUGGGUGUGGUGGUGCAUGCCUGUAAUCCCAGCUACUUGGGAGGCUGAGGCAGGAGAAUUGCUUGAACCCGGGAGGCGGAGGUUGCAGUGAGCUGAGAUUGCACCACUGCACUCCAGCCUGGGUGACAGAGUGAGACCCUGUCUCAA
rnacentral:SRP_RNA from 1 species